GACGAACGCUGGCGGCGUGCCUAAUACAUGCAAGUCGAACGCUUUUUCUUUCACCGGAGCUUGCUCCACCGAAAGAAAAAGAGUGGCGAACGGGUGAGUAACACGUGGGUAACCUGCCCAUCAGAAGGGGAUAACACUUGGAAACAGGUGCUGAUACCGUAUAACACUAUUUUCCGCAUGGAAGAAAGUUGAAAGGCGCUUUUGCGUCACUGAUGGAUGGACCCGGGGUGCAUUAGCUAGUUGGUGAGGUAGCGGCUCACCAAGGCAACGAUGCAUAGCCGACCUGAGAGGGUGAUCGGCCACACUGGGACUGAGACACGGCCCAGACUCCUACGGGAGGUAGCAGUAGGGAAUCUUCGGCAAUGGACGAAAGUCUGACCGAGCAACGCCGCGUGAGUGAAGAAGGUUUUCGGAUCGUAAAACUCUGUUGUUAGAGAAGAACAAGGAUGAGAGUAAAACGUUCAUCCCUUGACGGUAUCUAACCAGAAAGCCACGGCUAACUACGUGCCAGCCGCCGCAGUAA
rnacentral:rRNA from 1 species